GUAACAGACAAUCUGUCUCAAAACUUGCUCAGUGAAGAAUUUGACAAUAGCUGGGUGAAAGUAAAAUGCAAGAGAGCAAAACUAAUGGCAAGAAAAAGGGAAGAAAGGUUGCAAUCAAAUUCAGAACAAAGAAAUGAUCAGGGCAAAAGGCAGGAAAGAUCAGUCAAUGGUGUAUUGUUGGAACCAGGUGUAACGUACAUUGGCACAGCAUUCAAGACAUUUUAUGGAAGUCGUAAGAGGAAAAACACAGUACAGAAAAAAGAGAAUGAUGAGAACCACAAAAUGAAAAAUGAAGAAAAACAUGUUGGUGUCCAAUCCUAUGCAGAAACUCUAUUGAGCAUUUAUGCUUGCAGUGUGAAAUCUCCGCUUUCCAUGAAAUUUUGUAAUGAUGCCAGUAAGGAAUUUGAGAAAAUGCAAAAUCGAUCCUAUGCUAAUGUAACUACUAAGUUGUCUCCAUUGUCGAAACCAGAUUCUGCUAAGCACUCCAACCGAAGAACGUGUAAUAUUCUGGGAAAGAUGAAGGAUUUGAGACGGUACAGAGUUCAUGCAGGAGGCAAACAAAGGAACAAGAAAGAUGUCAAAAGGGAGGAGAAUGUUUAUCUGAUAUCUUAGAAAAGCAAGAAGGAAAGAAUAAAGGGUAAGUGUAGAUUUAAUUUUGUAUUGAUCAAAUAGUUAUGAUUGCAAAAUGAAAAAUUUAACAUAUUUUGAUAAAUGAAAGUCUGCAUAGAUUAUGAAUAAAGGCAAUUUUCAAAAGAGCUCUGCAUUUAUGAAUACAUUAAUUAAAAAAAAAGGAUAUUCAACCAAGUAUAUUUAAAUCAAGUUCAAAACAUUACAUUUCAUGUAAAGGACAUUAUGACAAUGCCUCCACCCACCAAAGGUGCUGCCAGAGACAUUAUGUUUUCGGGUUGUCCGUCCGUCCGUCCCACUUUCGUUCUCGCGAUAACUUAAAAACCAGUCAACUAAUCAACUUCAUACUCGGCUCGAGGACACCUAUCUGGGUGACGAUGAGCUGAGUAGUUUUUGGGUCCAAAGGUCAAAGGUCAAAGGUCAUAGAAUUCAAUAAAAUACAUAAGAAAUAGACCUUUCUCACAAAAAAUCAAAAACCCUUUGACAGAUCAAUUUCAAACUUGGCUCAUGUGUGCAUAUACAAGUGACAAUGAGCUGAUAAGUUUUGGGGUCUCAAGGUCAAAGGUCAAGGUCAUAACAUUCAAUAAAAUACAUAAAAAAUAGACUAUUCUUGUAAUAACUCUUAAACCUUUUGACAGAUCAACUUUAAACUUGGCUCAUGUGUACAUAUACAAUAGACGAUGAGCUGAUUAAAUUUUUUGAAUGUCAAGGUCAAAGGUCAAGUUCAUAAAAUUCAAUAAAAUACAUCAAAAAUAGACCGAUCUCAUGAUAACUCCAAAACCCUUUAACAGAUCAACUUCAAAACUGGCUCAUGUGUGCAUAUACAGCUGACAAUGAUCUGAGUAGAUUUUGGGUCUCAAGGUGAAAGGUGAAGGUCAUAAAAUUCAAUAAAAUGCAUAAGAAAUAGAUUGUUCUAAUGAUAACUUUUAAACCCUUUGAAGGAUCAACUUCCAACUUCUUUCAUGUGUGCAUAUACAAGUGACAGUGAUCUGUUCAGAUUUUUGGUCUCAAGGUCACAGGAUUCAGUGAAGUUUAUAUGUUAUCUGACUAGAUUCUGCAGUCGCAAGAUCAAAGGUCUACUAUUUUAUACUUUAUGGAAAGAGAAACUAGGAUAUAUAUUUCUCGUCUGGCAGUGGCGGAGGCGUACAUUUCGACCGUGCGCAGUCAAAGAUUCGUCUGGUUUCAAAAUGCAAUUACUACUGCAAAGAUAUUUUAUUUUACAAUACAUGGUGUCAUAAGAAGCAUCAGUUUAUUAUUGCAACAGCAAUUAUCAAAAAGAAAUGAAACAGAAUUUGAAUCUAGUUUGGAAGUGAAAGAAAUGAAAACUUUCUACUAAGAAUGUGCUUUUAUUUUCAAUGAAUACAGAAAUCUUGUAAUUUAUAAUGACUACAUGGUAUACAUCGACUCAGAAAAAAGGUAGUCCAAGGGGGAGGGGGUUAUGGGACAAAGAUAUAUAAGUGUAUUGUGUAAUAGUUCUUAAUUUUCUUUACAUACCAUUUGCAGUUUCUGUAAUACACUGUGUAAUAAUGUUGUUCUCUCAAUGUUACUAUUAAGUACAGGUACCAACAAGAACCCAAACACCAACAAUGUGAUAACUCCUCUUGGGGAUUACUGCCUGACUUGCGGUUAUUAGACCGCUUUUCAUCUAAUGAUUUGGGACCAUGUAGGAGUGUGCAUAGUGUACAAAGCCAUUCAUUUAUGCAGUUUCACUCCAUUGGUUUGUAUUGAUGAAAUUUAUAUCCAAUCCCAAUCGGUGCCAUACAAGCCUGGUGUCUGUAAAUGCUCCUGUGAGUAAUGUGCUGACCAGGUUUAUCCCUGAAAUUGUUAGUGAACGGAGCAGCUGGAGGAUCCCAGCCCUUGGUGAUAAAUGCUGGGUAUUGUGGUGAAUAAUAAUGUUUAAUAUCAUCAAAACACUUGUCUACAAACAGGAAAAACAAUUUAGAAAUUUGUUUUAUUGACAAGAUUUGAUGAUGAUAACUUAUGAAAUUUAGAUAAUUGAAAAUGUGUCACAGAUAUGUAAUCCCCUCUCACCCAUAUUUAGUGUUUGUCGUCCAGUUAAUCAUUUGUCGUCCAGUUUAUCAUUACUCUAAACAAAAGACUUUAAUGAAGAACACACCUUCAAGACAAGGAUUGACUAACUCCUCACUACUUGCGCACUUAUUUCAAAGAAAAACGUUUAUCAACCAUAAUCUGUCAGUCUCAUUGGCUACCAGACAAAUCGCCUGCCCACAAAUGCUACAGGUCCUUGAAAUUGUCAAAGAAAAGACCACUUAGAGGACAUUGGCUCGUCUAAAAUGUAACUGGACUCUGUGAUGGGUCACUUUCUAUAAAUUUGUUUAUUAUCAUCUGAACAAUUUCAGCUUUCUUAUCAUUGCAGAAUUUUUGUUUAUUUUGAUUUUCAACAGUUUUUUUAAAUUAUAGUUCACAAUCUGCUUCAUAUGUAAACCCCAACUGAGAUGUGCAAUACAAAAAGAAAUCAAAAGUAAAUCAAUGAUUCAAGACUUAUAAAAGCCAUGUCCACCCCAAGAACAAAUGGAUUUGGACGAAAAGGGAAAAAUCAAACGAACAUGCUUUAUGCUGAAAAUUUCAUCAAAAUUGAAUGUUAUUAUAGUAUUUGAAAAGAGGUCGGAUUUUUCCUUUAAGAUUUACUUACAAGAGUUGGACGAAGAGGGUGUAAAGUGUUUGUCUUAUCACAACAUUGAAAUGUACAUCUCAGAACAAAUAGUUCCAUUUUUGUAAAGUUAUUAUAUUGAAUAUGGACUGUUAUUAGAAAUGAAAAUUAUAUAUAAUUAUUUAAAUUGCUUGGGAUAAAGUAUACUUCCUUUUUUAUGAAAUUGUAUUACGGAAUGGUGUUAUAACUUAGUAAAGAGGAAGGAUCUUGUGAAAGUGAUUAUGUUACGCGGGAAGAAAACCCGCUUGGUCAGUAGAGAUCGAUUGAUUUGAGGUCAUUGGUCAAGCUACUCAGUGAGGAGAGCAAUCAGUCAGAGAGUCCUGUAGGAUCCAGAUAAUUUAGAUCUCAAUCCUGUCGAGGUAUGUUGAUUGAUAUGUGCUAUUUUAUAAGAGAAGGAUAUCUAUGUUUUGGAAUAUAUUAUCUCUAAAUCAUGAACUAGAAUUAGAGCAUUGAAUCGUAAUUUUUCUGUUAGGUCAAGGAUACCUACUACGUGGCAUGUUACGUAACAAUGAAUGUGUGUAUAUAUGUAUCGGGUACCUAUCGAUUCAAGAUGGUAUCACUCUUUCCUUUUUGUCUUGGAAUUGCCGAAUUGGAGGACUAUAUUUAUGUAGUUGUAUUUCUUUAACGCUCGAUAAAUUAUUUACCUGGUGUAUUUAAAUAGACGAUGAGUAGAAUUUAUAAAUCUGAAUAAUUCGUAAACCGGGAGAUUUGGUAAAUGGUAGCCUCAAGGUCAGGCAAUGUCAAAUCAUUUCGUACUGAUGGUUUCGAUUAAUUAUCGAUUUAACUUUAAUCGAUUAAUAUUUUCGCCAGUUCAGUUAUAUAUUUUAGAUUUUAAAAUGAUACGUGAUCAAUUGAUAUUAUACAAUCAUAUAUAUUAAGGAUUGGUGUAUCGUUUAUUUAUUUAGGAGUUCGAAUGUUCAUUGUUGAUGGAACUAGCUGGAUUGUGAUGAUUUCUGGGUUUUCUACGAAGAUUGCAGUGUUGGGUACCGGAAUCUGACCCUAGAAAGUGAUUGUUUUGGUCCUUGGUAUGGUUUUUAACCUGUAUCUGCCCUAGUCGGAGGUUUUUUCUUUUCCAAUUUGUUAUAUACUGAACAACUGUUGUGCUCAAGUGGGAAAUUAAAUUCCGCUCACAACCUACAACUCUCGUCGUAUCGUGUCUUGUGUUCUGGAGUGUCCUGACAACUUCCCCCAAAAAUCCAGAAUACUACAUUAUGUCAGUUCAAAGUUUUUCUGUAUUCAGCAAAACAGUUGUAUACACAUCAUGCUUUGUAUGCAAUUUAGAAAGUGAUGACAUCAAGUCACUAUUUCUUUUGUAUUUUUAUUAAAUAAAAUAUGAAAUAUUUCAUUUUUUUCCUCCUUAGAAAACAAACCAAGUUUGAUUCUAUUCUCACAUUCUUCAUAAACCAUUGAUAAAACCUGUUGUGAAGAAAUUAAGUGUAUCUGUGUUAUCAUAUUUUCAAAAACAUGAAAUUUGGUAUGAUUUAUGUAAUAAAAUGCAAAAGAAGUAGUGAGUAUGUGACAUCAUCAACUCAUUGAUUUGGACAUGACCACGAUUUGGUUAUAACUGUUUUGUAUAAGAUAACCAAUAUUUUAAAAUUACAUUACUUUCUUAUUUUCCAUGCAAUUUGUAUUAAGUGUGUGACAUAAUGUUUCCUAGAUUGUCCUCUUUUGGUUCAAAUCAAUUUUUGUUGGGGGUGGACUACUCCUUUAAGGAAAGUGUCUUAAAUUGGUUACUUAUGUUACAUUUUUGUAUUGUUUUAUAUUAUCCAUUUACUACUGUUUUAUUUGUCACUGCACUUGAGUGUUUUGUGAUUACCAAUGUAUUCAGAUAAUUGGAAAUUCAGUUUUGCUGUUGUGAUUCUUUUGUGAAAUGGUGAUUGAAUGUAAAAAAGAAAAUUUGCAUCCAUUUUAGAUUUCAGUUCAUAUGUCUGCCUUUUGGAGAAACAGUUACCUGACUAGAUUUCAAAGUGUGAAGAUUGAAGGUCUAUAGUGUUUUUUUGUUCAUGGAAAUAGAAAGUAAGAAAUAUUUUUCUGGUCGGGCAGUGGCGGAGGCAUACAUUUUGACCGUGCACAGUCGAGAUUUAUCUAGUUUUCAAUGAGAAUUGUGGCAACAUCAUUUUAAUCACCAAAAAACAUAGAUUGUUUUGACUGAGUAAAAGUAGAAAUAAUGACACAUUUAUGAAUUUUGGGAGAAAAGUUUAUUUGAUUUGUUUUGAUCAUUACAGCAUUUUAAAGCCUGACAGUCAUUUACAUAAUAUUGCAUAACUUGAGAACCACAUAUAUGAAUUUGAUAUGGAACAAUGUGCAAAGCUUGUAUGUAAAUUGUGUUGAACCACUGUGUUGAUGAGUUCUCAACAUUGUCAGUUUUCACAGUUGAUUUAACACCACAAAAAAUUAAGCCAGUUAUAUUUAAAGAGAUCUUCAUUACCAAUUGACCUGCGUGAAUGGUAAAACAUCCCACUAUUCAUAAAGGAAAGUUAUUAUUUUAGUUUCUCUUUAUACAUCAGUAACUGACAUUGUCUAAAGCAAGCUAAAGAAUUUUUAUUCCUCUGCUCAUCAAAAGUGGUUGCCGGUGGCAUUAUGUUUUGGAUUAUCCGUCUGUUCGUCCAUCCGUUCAUCUGUCUGUUCAUUCCAUUUUUGUUCUCGCAGUAACUCAAAAACCAUUUCACAGAUCAACUUCAACUUGGACCAUAUAUGCAUUAGGUGCUCAAAAUGAUUUCACACAUGCGUAUGCAUGUAUGUAUCGUUAGAAAAAAAUUAAUAUUCAUAUUCUGUUGGUACAUGAUCUCAUUAUUUAGGGUUAACAGAUCAAGGUCAAGGUCAGAAAGUUCAAGCAAGUACAUAAUAAAUACUCUGUUCUUGCUACAACUCAAAAACAGUUUCAUGGAUUCACUUGAAACUUGAAUCCUGUAUGGAAUGGCGGUGAAGAAGAUCUCAUCAGUUUAAAGGUCAUGAGGUCAGAGGUCAAGUUCACAAAAUUAAAAAAAAAUAGAUAAAAAUACUCAUUUUUACUUUUACAAUUUUGUAGAUCAUCUUGUAACUUUGAUUGUGUAUGCAUCUGUAAUGAAUUUUUGCUUUUCGCUUAAUGGACUUUUUGCAAAAAAUAUCAAACAACAAAAAUGGUCUACUCCACCAGGCCCCCCCCCCCCCCUCUUCCCAGUGAAUUGUUAAACUAAGCAUCACUUUUCUGUUUAGAUGCAGUAUUUUGCAAUAAUACAUUAUAUGAAUGAAACUUUAUGUAUGUAGUCUGUGUAUGUAUUUAGGAUCCCUAUGAUAUUGGAAUAACAAUGUAAGCCCAAGCCUUCAGGGCUUUGGGUAACAGUUAAAAUGCUGUGAACCUUUUAAUUUGAUUAUUAUGAAUUAUUUGUUGAUCAUUGUUAUUGUAUUUAUAUUUUCUUUUUUAUGUUCAGAAAUCUGUCAUUAUCUUUUAUGGCUUUUGAUUGUACAAAUAAAGAUAGAAAAUAAAAAUACUAAAGAGUA